AUGGCUCCUCCUCCUCCUAGCCGGCAUCCUCCUCCCCGUCGUCUCGUACCUGCUAGUGACGAAGCACAGAGCCGAGGAAGGGCGGCUGAAGCUGCCGCCGGGCCCGAAGCCGGUGCCGGUGCUCGGCAACCUGCACCAACUGGGCUCUCUACCGCAUCGCAACCUGCGCGACCUGGCCGGGCGGCACGGCCCCGUCAUGCUACUCCGCCUCGGCGCGGUGACGACGGUGGUGGUCUCGUCCGCGGCUGCGGCGCGCGACGUGAUGAAGGCCCACGACGCCGAGUGCUGCAGCCGCCCCGCAUCGCCGGGCCCCGCGCGGCUCUCCUACGGGCGCAAGAGCGUCUCGUUCUCGCCAUACGGCGCCUACUGGCGCGACAUGCGCGGACUCUUCGCCGCGGAGCUCCUCGGCACGCGCGGCGUCAGAGCCGCCUGGGCCGCACGGCGGGAGCAGGUGGACAGGCUCAUGGCCGCCCUGGGCAGCGCUGCGGGGCCGGUGUCGUUGGACGAGCACGUGUUCCGUGUCGCCGACGGCGUCAUCGGCACGGUGGCGUACGGGAGCGUGUACGGCGCGGAGGCGUUCGCGGGCAAGUACGAGCGGUUCCAGCAUGUGCUACAGGAGGCCGUGGACAUGUCGGCCAGCUUCUCCGCCGAGGACUUCUUCCCCAACGCCGCCGGCCGCCUCCUCGACCGGCUCGCCGGCAUCGUCGCGCGCCGGGAGAGGAUCUUCAGAGACCUCGACGGCUUCUUCGAGGCAGUGCUGGAGCAGCACCUGGACCCCGCGCGCCCAAAGCCGGAGAGCGGCGGCGGCGACCUGGUGGACGCCCUCGUUAG
rnacentral:rRNA from 1 species